GCACCUUCUCGGCCUUUUGGCUAAGACCCAAUGUAGUAUCUGUUCUUUCAGUUUAAUAUCUGAUACGCCCCCUACCCGGGGACCAUAUAUUAAAUUGUUUUUUGGGGAAAAGGAGAUGGAAUGGGGGGCUUGCUCCGUCCACUCCACCACCGGAUUGCAGUACCUCCAGGAACGGUGCACCUCCU